UGAUUUCAAAACAACUCAUGAAAAGGCAUAUAGAGUUAUUCUCAAUCGCAAAUCUUUUUAUAAACAGGAUCCUUAGUAUGAAGUAAAAUUUAUUUGUUUAUAUCGUAGUAAAGUAAUCUCAUUGAAUAUGGAUCUACAAAGUGCCUUAAAUACUCCCCAUAUACGUGUUAAGCUUGUUGCAAUGAUACACACAACCUUGAUUGCCGCAGCUCUAAACAGCUACUGGUUACCAGCAUCAUACCAAUUUUAUAACAUACUCUUCAUCAUAUCGUUAUUUUGGGCCAUACAUUGGAAAGAAUCAUCAGAUGCUGUGCAAAUUGCGUGUUUGAUCGAUGUGAUAGGAUUCUUAUUUGAUUUAACUGGCAUUAUCUUGUACUUCCCAAGUAAAGGAGCCAUUCUAUCAGCCGUUUUUGCAAUUUUUAAUUUAGCGUUACGACCAUUCACUCUUCUUUUACUACAUCGCGAAUUGACUGAUCGUGGAGGAAGAUUGAGUUUGACAACGGAGGCGACUGGAAAUAAUCCUUCGAGCUAUGAAGACAUUGAUCAACACCAUCAGGUUUUUACGCCAACUGUUCUAUCAUAGAUCCCGUCGCAUUUAUUUGUAUAGCGACAUUGAAGCUAGUGAACCGCUUUGAAGUAUAAGAAGGGAGAAUUAACUAGUUGAGGAGUGAGUUCGACGGCGGCAACUGGAUAUAAUCCUUCAAUUAACAAAACAAUGAACAAAGAAAACAAUUAACAGCAACUCACAUGUUUUAAGGCUUUAUUGGUGCAAUUGUAAACACUUAAGGCUAAUUCUUCACUUAUAGUUUUUCAUAAAUCUAGUACCAUAAGGAAAAUUCAUUUUGACCGAUUGGACUUCAGCUUCUUCAUAUACCCUCAACGAUAAUAGUUCAAGGCAUUUCCAAAGUUAUUCCCACAGCGUGGUAUCAGUUUUCUUAAGGUGAAAAUGCAUCGAAGCCACACCUCAGAUUUUCAAGAUUACGGUAUUCACGGAUUACGGUAAAUAAUUAAUGUAUGUAUGUGUAUAUACAUAUAAAAAUUAGAGAAACCUGGGUCCUUCCUUAGUCGAGUGGUUAGUACUAGCAAUAAAAAAAAGCUCUGGGUUCUUUACAUUGCUCAACAAUUAUAUUCUUCCACCGCCUCACUUAUAUACCAAUUUGAAGCUGA